GAAGAGAUGGCUGAGUGGUUUAAAGCGGUAGACUGUAAAUCUACUAAUACUUGUUUUAUUUUCGUAGGUUCAAAUCCUACUCUCUUCA
rnacentral:tRNA from 1 species